CAUUUUGAUGGUUCCAAAAAAUUCUUUUCUUUUUCCUUUCUUUUGUGAGUCUAUCUGAUAGAUACUUGCAGAACUUGCUGAGAAAUGCUACUAGUAUAUGCACAUUCCAUGGAAUUCCAUGAAGUUUGCACCAUAGCAUCUCCGCUGUAGACAUGGCACUUGUGAUCCGGGCUGUUGAUUUGGUGGGUCAUCUUUAGAUGGUUCAUAGCACAAAAAGCAAUACGAUCAGACUAUGGACGCCAUCUAAUAGGUGGUCCUGUAAUGGAUGGUUAACUCAAGCAAACAGUGAGCAACCGUCCAUAUUCAACCCGCAUAAAUAAAAGUGAACAGUUCAGGUUGUCCAAUCAAUGUCUUUGGGCUAUUUCCAAUGCAUGCAGUGGCCCGUCAGAUCAAGCAAUCCCAAUCACAGUACCUGUUUUCAAUGUGCAUUUUGAUCAAGAUUCCCAACCAUGCUUUCAUGUUCCUAGUUAUUCUAUUUGGAGGUAGAGAACUGUUUCAUGUUGCCUUGGAUCUUCUCUCCCAUGUGUCCUCUACUCACUUCUAACUUCUUUGUUUGUCAAGAUCUCUACCUAACUUAAGCCCACUGUGAUCUGAACAUCUAAGAUAGCAUGUCUUCUGUGAGUCCGCUGUGCAUAUAAAAUCAUAUUAUCUAAUUUUCAUUUUCUUGUGGCUGCAUGGGAUCUGAUUCGUAUUUUUUCCUCUGUUGCUCUUUUUGCGACUCAAUCCUAAUGCAUUAGGAAUUUCCUUGUUCUCUCAUCUUAAAAAGAAGUGUUGUGAACUAGGAGGUUUGCUGGGUCCAUGAUGCAGUCCCGUCUAUGAUGAAUCCGAGACGCAUACGGCUGCGCUAAAAAUGAUGAUGAAUGACAAUUAGAAUUGUCUCAUGAUAAUCUGUCCACACUGCAAGCGCCUCAGCAAUUGGUCGGCAAUGGCCAGUGAAAAUGAUGAAUUCCGCGAGCAACUUAGCUGGAAUUGGGUCUCAUUCUUUCAGCAAAACCAGAUUCCCUUGCUGGAAACAGCAUGGUGAACGUGAAGGCUGAGGGAAAUAACAUUAUUCACUAUGUAGGAAAACCCUUAUUAGAACUUACAGAGGAAGUUUGCUUUGACAUUAAGCUAACUUAACAACGAGUGACACCCUAAUAAACCUAAUUAACUUUAAGCUAACUUAAUCGCGAUGCAAGCCCUAAGAAACCGCAACUAACCAAUGUUUAUCAAAACACAAAUAGUUGCAAAUAAAAAUUAACUGCAACAACAUCUAUGGCCCACUGGUGGGUCUGAUAUUCAUCUAGACUGUUUGGUAAAGCUCUAAUUUUAGCGCCUUUUUUUUUUUUUCCAGAAACUAGCAAAAAAGCUCUUAAAAAAUAAGUGAUGGGGGAGUUAACUUUUUCUUUAAGAGCUUAUUUGGCUUAAGCUGUUAGACAUUUUUGGUUAAUUUUUGGACAAGUUUGUCGUUAAACUUUUUAAGUAAUUCCCAUCUUGCCUGCUCUUCUUUUCUUUACCAUCUCUCUAAGGCGGGCCCACAUGAUGAAUAACUCAUAUAUUGAAGGUGGAGCUCCACAUGAUGAAUGGUCCACAUCAAGGUGGGCCCACAUAAUGCACGGUCACAUCAAAGGUGGCCCCCACAUGAUGGAUGCCCCACAUCAAAGUGUGCCCACACAUAUGAACCAUAUCAAAGGUGGGACUUGCAUGAUGGAUUGUGGACAUUGAAGGUGGGACCACAUGAUGGAAGGUUGACAUCAAAGGUGGGCCCAUAUGAUGAACGACCCAUAUUGAAGGUUGGGCCCCACAUGAUGGAUGGUGAACAUCUAAGGUGGGUUCCACAUGAUGGAUGGCCCAUAUCAAAAUGCGGCUCUGCAUGAAGGACUGUCCACGCCAAGUGGGCCCCAGAUGAUGGGCGGUCCAUGGCAAAAGGUGGGACCCACGUGAUGGAUGGUGGACAUCAAAGGUGGGCCUGCAUGAUUAACAAUCCAUAUUGAAGGUGCCACCCACAUGAUGAAUGGUCCACAUGAAGGUGGGCCCACAUAAUGCACGGUUCACAUCAAAGCUGGGCCCCACAUGAUGGAUGAUCCACAUCAAAGUGUGGCCUAACAUGAUGGACCAUCCACGUUAAGUGGGACCCACAUGAUGGAUGAUGGACAUCAAAGUUAGGCCCAUAUGAUGGACGGUUGACAUCAAAGGUGGGCCCACAUGAUGAGCGGUCCUGUAUUGAAGGUGGGCCCCCACAUAAUGAAUGGUCCACAUCAAGGUGGCCCACAUAAUGGAUAGAGUGGCCUCACAUGAUGGAUGGCCCGCAUCAAAGUGUGGCCUCUUGCGAUGGACAGUCCACAUCAAGUGGGCCCCACCUAAUGGAUGGUCCAUAUCCAAGGUCUCACAUGAUGGGCGGUCCAUAUCCAAAGUGGCCCAACAUAAUGGAUGAUCUACAUAGAAGGUGCGCCCCACACGAUGGAUGGUUGACAUCAAAAGUGGGCCCACAUGAUGGACAACCCACUUUGAAGGUGGUGCCCACACGAUGGACGCAUCAAAUGUGGAUUCCACAUCAUGGGUAGUGGACAUUGAGGGCCCCCCCAUAAAGGACAAUUAGCAUUGAUGAUGGGCCCCAUAUGAUGGAUGGCCUACAUCAUGGUAGGCCCCACAUAAUGGACAAUCCAUGUCAAAGGUCAACCCCUAAUGAUGAAUCGUCCACAUCCAAGAUAAGUCCACAGGAUGGAUGACCCACUUUGAAGGUUUGGCUCACACGAUGGAUGAUCCCCAUCAAAGGUGGGCUCCAUAUGAUGGAGGAUCCUCAUCUAGUGUUCAACAUAAUGGACGGCCCCAAAUGUCUUAAAACAUGAAGGUUGUAGCCAUCUAUUGUUUUGCCAUUUGGGGCACGGUCAAUCUAUAAUGAGAUCCACCAAAACAACCAUCGGGAUUGCUCUUAUAAUGAAGUUGUUGUAAUCUUUAAAAAUGACAUCAAUUACCCUUAAAAAAAACUCUUAUUUCAAAUAAGAUCCUUUUUUUGUUGUUGUUGUUUUGAAAACGUGAAUUUACCAAACGAGCUUAUUUUAAACAAGCUCUAUAACAAAAAGAGCUUAUUAGAGUAGCUCUUAUUUGAAAAGCUCUUAUUAGAUUAGAGUAGAGAUGCCAAAUGAGCCCAUAACCUUUGAUCGUGGCUACAUAAUUCACUCCUUUAUCUGGAGCACACUCACUGAUCCAUGGAUAUGGUGGGUCCCACCAUGAAGGUGGCCUCCAACCUUAUGUAUGAAUCAAGUUGGUUCACUAAUCCGGUGGACCUUUGGCGAGGAUUUUUUAGAAACAAUUUUCGUGCAGGGUGAACUGCUUGAUUUGUUUAUUUUUUGUGACUGAUCAUCUGCAUGAUUUGGCUCACUUUUUGUAUGGGUUAGAUGUCCACACGUGCUGUUUUUGCACAUAAUCUGCGUGUAAAUUUGUGCAUGGAGGGGUUGUUUAUGGGGAUAGGAAACAUAUAUGAACAAGUGUGGGCAGUGAAACUUUUGGUUAUCUAGUUUUACCACAACAAUGCUCUGUUUAUUUGAUAUCUUCCAAUAGUUGUUUCUUUUAUGCUGUUUUAGCUAAUUUUAGUUACUUAUCCGUCACUCGCUUUUUCAUAUUUUGAU